rnacentral:lncRNA from 1 species
CAAAUGCUAAAUCCUGUGCCAUUGAAGUUAAUGGCACAUUUUCCAUUUAGUAGAUCAGAACAAAAAUAACAGCCUAAGUAACUACAUGUCAGAAAUUGAAAAAGCAGCAAUCAGUUUCUAUGAGAACUUUUCUUGGGCAGACAUCAAGGCAGCAUCACAAGUUACCUGUUCAGACCCUGUAAAACUGAUUCUUUCGCUGAAGGACACAAAUUACUCUCCUGAAUCAAGAGUAAAUAUUAGUGUCCGGCCAUGAGAGAAAAGUGGGACUAUCACAGAAGUUUACCCAGUACUGAUGGAUGGCCCAAGACUAGAGGAGCACAAGAACCAGGGAGUUGUAUGGGUGGUUUAACACUAACUGUAGCUGUGUAUACAAGACCCCUUUGGACUUCUGCCAGGUACAGUUUAGGCAAUCUGGAGAACGUGGGCCAAGCUGUACAAUGCAGGUCUGUGGUGGUUUAAGACCUGAGGCACACAAAUAUUGUGAGGUUCAAAGGGAUGCGGGGAAAUCAGCACACAAAGCACAAAGCAGUAUCUUUCUGUAGCAGAGAGUUCUGGACCCAAGAGUUACUGCUUCGUCUCAGGGAAUAACCUGGAGGCAUAAUCAGCUCUGAUCUGUUUGUUUUUGUCUCCUCCUGGGAGCCAUUAUAUGAUAUUAACAAAAUAAAUCAAUUUUAAAUAACUCGGUGUGUAAGCUU